rnacentral:lncRNA from 1 species
AAUAUCGGUAUUCGCAUAAAAAGGCAAAUGAUGACUUAAGGAAGAGUGCCAAAGUGUAUAGGCUGUUCUAAAAGUAUAAAAUAAAACAAAUAAAGGAAGGGAUGUAAAGCAUAAGUAAUUGAGUAUGCUCUAAUUUAUUGUGGUUAAUUUAUUUUCACUUAUAUGACCAUAACCAUCAUUCUUGUUGCUUGCUUUCUAUUUUUUUUUUAUCCGAAAAAAUCUUAUUGAUCUCUUGAGUACGUUGUUUGCACUAGUGGAGAUGGGCUGAUAAGAUUUUGCAUUCAGGAUUGGAUGUUUGAACCAAAUUAUUUUAUUAAAAUCUAAAGGAAGUAGGCUAGCUAUUGAUUAUGCAUAAUUUUGUUUGAGUAUGAAUGAGUUUGGAAUAGUUAGCUUGUGGGUUUGCCUUUCGGUUUUGGGUUGAGGUGGUUAAGCCAUGGCAUUUGGGUAUUACUCCUUUGUGUCUAGAUAGAUUUUGAGUAUAUUAAUGUUAAAUAAAGUUUUUAGCAUUAAUUUUUAUUUUAGAUUCUUCAUUUUUGAUUUGGACUUUUCUUUUGCUUGGGGACAACCAAAAAC